CACGUAGGGCGCAAGCGUUGUCCGGAAUUAUUGGGCGUAAAGAGCUCGUAGGUGGUCUGUUGCGUCCGCUGUGAAAUCUCAGGGCUUAACCCUGAGCCUGCAGUGGAUACGGGCAGACUAGAGGUAGGUAGGGGAGAAUGGAAUUCCUGGUGUAGCGGUGAAAUGCGCAGAUAUCAGGAGGAACACCGGUGGCGAAGGCGGCUCUCUGGGACGGUACUGACGCUGAGACGCGAAAGCGUGGGGAGCGAACAGG
rnacentral:rRNA from 1 species